rnacentral:rRNA from 1 species
CCUACGGGGGGCUGCAGUGGGGAAUAUUGGACAAUGGGCGAAAGCCUGAUCCAGCCAUGCCGCGUGUGUGAAGAAGGCCUUCGGGUUGUAAAGCACUUUCAGUGGGGAAGAAAGCCUUGGGGCUAAUACCCUCGAGGAAGGACAUCACCCACAGAAGAAGCACCGGCUAACUCCGUGCACAGCAGCCGCGGUAAUACGGAGGGUGCGAGCGUUAAUCGGAAUUACUGGGCGUAAAGCGCGCGUAGGCGGUCUGAUAAGCCGGUUGUGAAAGCCCCGGGCUCAACCUGGGAACGGCAUCCGGAACUGUCAGGCUAGAGUGCAGGAGAGGAAGGUAGAAUUCCCGGUGUAGCGGUGAAAUGCGUAGAGAUCGGGAGGAAUACCAGUGGCGAAGGCGGCCUUCUGGACUGACACUGACGCUGAGGUGCGAAAGCGUGGGUAGCAAACAGGAUUAGAUACCCUAGUAGUC